GCUGGGUGUGGUGGCGCACACCUGUAAUCCUAGCAGCUUGGGAGGCUGAGGCAGGAGGAUCACAAGUUCGAAGCCAGCCUCAACAGUUUAGUGAGGCUCCAAGCAACUUAGUGAGAUCCUGCCUUAA
rnacentral:sRNA from 1 species